UACGUAGGGUCCGAGCGUUGUCCGGAAUUACUGGGCGUAAAGCGCGCGCAGGCGGCCCGCGAGGUGUCACGUGAAAGCCCCGGGCUCAACCCGGGAGGGUCGUGGCAAACCGGCGGGCUUGAGGCCGGUAGAGGUGGGUGGAACUCCUGGUGGAGUGGUGAAAUGCGUAGAGAUCAGGAGGAACACCAAAGGCGAAGGCAGUGUCCUGGGGAGUACCUGACGCUCAGGUGCGAAAGCCAGGGGAGCGAACGGG
rnacentral:rRNA from 1 species